CAAAUGCAAGAACAANUUCAAGGAAAAAGCAGCAGUGCUGCCAAUUGUUUGUCAUAUUUGAACAAAGUUGAUCUGAGAGCCAACGAAAGCUAAAUGACAUUUAAACAACA